UACGUAGGGUGCGAGCGUUGUCCGGAAUUACUGGGCGUAAAGAGCUCGUAGGUGGUUUGUCGCGUUGUCCGUGAAAACUCACAACUCAAUUGUGGGCGUGCGGGCGAUACGGGCAGACUGGAGUACUGCAGGGGAGACUGGAAUUCCUGGUGUAGCGGUGGAAUGCGCAGAUAUCAGGAGGAACACCGGUGGCGAAGGCGGCAUCCUGGACCGGCAUUGACGCUGAGGAGCGAAAGCCAGGGGAGCAAACGGG
rnacentral:rRNA from 1 species